rnacentral:tRNA from 1 species
CAAAGAGAGAAGACUUCAACUCCUAUCUAUAGCUCCCAAAGCUAAAAUUUUAUAAUUAAACUACUCUUUGUA